rnacentral:rRNA from 1 species
AAUGAUGGGAAUUUAAACCUCUUCCAGAGUAUCAAUUGGAGGGCAAGUCUGGUGCCAGCAGCCGCGGUAAUUCCAGCUCCAAUAGCGUAUAUUAAAAUUGUUGCAGUUAAAAAGCUCGUAGUUGAAUUUCUGCUGCAUCGCUGUGUCCCUUCGGGGUCUCUGCAUGUGGCUUAUUUCGGACGGAGUUCGCUUUGUCUGGAUGUUUACUUUGAGAAAAUUAGAGUGCUCAAAGCAGGCUUUUGCCUUGAAUAGUUUAGCAUGGAAUAAUAAAGUAGGACUUUGGUUCUAUUUUGUUGGUUUUAGGUACCAAAGUAAUGGUUAAU